UACGUAUGGUGCAAGCGUUAUCCGGAUUUACUGGGCGUAAAGGGAGCGCAGACGGCAGGGCAAGUCUGAUGUGAAAGGUCGGGGCCCAACCCCGGGACUGCAUUGGAAACUGUCCGGCUGGAGUACAGGAGAGGUAAGUGGAAUUCCUAGUGUAGCGGUGAAAUGCGUAGAUAUUAGGAGGAACACCAGUGGCGAAGGCGGCUUACUGGACUGUAACUGACGUUGAGGCUCGAAAGCGUGGGGAGCAAACAGG
rnacentral:rRNA from 1 species